rnacentral:rRNA from 1 species
AGAGAUCAUGGCUCAGGAUGAACGCUGGCGGCGUGCCUAAUACAUGCAAGUCGAACGAGAACCACCUUCGGGUGGGGGCAGUGGCGGACGGGUGAGUAACACGUAGAUGACCUGCCUCGAAGAGAGGGACAACCCGCUGAAAGGCGAGCUAAUACCUCAUAAGCUCACGCGGUUUAGAAGCGUGUGAGAAAAGCUCCGACGCUUCGAGAGGGGUCUGCGGGCUAUCAGCUAGUUGGCGGGGUAACGGCCCACCAAGGCGGUGACAGCUAGGGGACCUGAGAGGGUGAUCCCCCACACGGGAACUGAGAAACGGUCCCGACUCCUACGGGAGGCAGCAGUAAGGGAUAUUGCACAAUGGGCGCAAGCCUGAUGCAGCAACGCCGCGUGCAUGAUGAAGGCCUUCGGGUCGUAAAAUGCUUUUCUGACUGAAGAGGAAGGACAGUAAGUCAGGAAUAAGUGUCGGCUAACUACGUGCCAGCAGCCGCGGUAAAACGUAGGACGCAAGCGUUAUCCGGAGUUACUGGGCGUAAAGCGCGGGCAGGCGGUCGUUCAAGUCUGAUGUGAAAGCGCAUGGCUCAACCAAGCGAUGCCAUUGGAAACUAGACGACUGGAGUCUGGCAGAGGUAGGCGGAAUUCCGGGUGGAGUGGUGAAAUGCGUAGAGAUCCGGAGGAACACCAGAGGCGAAGCGGCUACUGGGCCAGUAUGACGCUGACCGCGAAGCCAGGGGAGCGAACGGGAUUAGAAACCCNCGGUAGUCCUGGCCGUA